rnacentral:tRNA from 1 species
GCGGUCGUCGUCCAGUCUGGUCUAGGACUUCAGCCCUCCAAGCUGGCAACCAGGGUUCAAAUCCCUGCGACCGCA